CGUGGCAGACCAAGGACGCACAUCCAGGGCUCUGCACCCAGUCGGCCAGCUGGCCCCUGCCGGUUGAGCUGGGGGCCCCACCGGAGAGAGGCAGGCAAAGCGGCAUCCAGGACUCACUGCUGUAUCCCCAGCCCCUAACAGGGCACAGCGCUGGACCCUGAAAGGACUGACUCGGGAAGUAUUUAUUGAGCACCUACGACACGCCAGCCUGUGGGCGCACAGUCCAGCUCAGGAGAGGGUCGGCGAACCAGUAAACUGGCAAGUACGGAGGAAUGAAUCGUGACAAGCGCCACAAAGGGGACAGGGGAUGCCGCGAACAAGGAUGCUGCAUGUCCUCAUUGGCCACACGUGGAACAGACUGUUCCCACCACCUGCCCUGGAUCCCACACUAUUGCUCACCGUCCAGGAAAAGGGAAAGCCAAGCCUUCCUUGGACAACCCAGUUCCCCCCACCCACCCCAUUCCAGGGGGCUGAGCCAUACACCCAGGGUACUGUGUGGUCUCAGAAAGAGCCUGAGGGCAGAGGACCCGGGGAGAAGGUCCACAAAACACCCCGAAACCCUCACUGACAAUGGGGCAGAAGGAGGCUUCCCACUGUGAUAAGGCUUGCAAGGGAUUUGCAGGUAAGACCAACCUUGAGAGAACUGGCCUAUGUACCAACUGGAUCCCCUGUUCAGCCUCAUCUCUGAUUUGGGAAACUUCUGUCCUGGACCACCCCAGCCCCACCGAGCCUGGCCUCCCAGAGAGCCCUGCACAGCCCUCCCCAGCCCCUCGAAGCUCCCUACACUGGCCUUACCCCAGAGGGACACUGUCAAUCAGGAACUCCCCCACACGGCUGGCCCGUGACUGUUACCACCCCCAGCGUGACUGGUCCUGCAAAUUGGGAGGAUCUGGAAGUCUCUGGGCAUGUGGUGUGCCCCGCUGGUGAAGGGAUGGGCUCAUGGGGAAGCAGAAGAGAAGCAGAGGGAGGAAGGAAGGGGCCUGGAUCUCAGCCACCCUGCCCAGCUCUUGCAGCCAGCCCCCCACCUGGUCACUGCCUCCGGAGCUGACAUGGUGGUGAGUCCCUGGUCACCACGCCCCCGCACCCCCGUCUCCCCUGAUGCCCCUGGGGUACAGGUAGCUCCUUGUGACCUGUGGGCUUUGGAGUCGGCAGACCUGGAUUCAAAUGCUGCCUCUCUCGGGCUGUCUGCCCAGGCAAGGCCUCCCCCGUAACUGGGACUGGAAUGCUCAGAGCUGCUGAGAGCGUGCGACUGGAAGGGUUCAGAGGGGGCACCUGGCCUCGCCUUCCCCUUUCCUCCUCCUGACCAAAUUUUUAUCAGGACACCCAAAUGGUAGGGCUCGGUGUCAUUCAUCACGAGCCCCUGUUCCCUGCCGCUACAACAGGGAAAGGUCUUGCUUGCCCCUCAGAAGCAGCUUUGACUGUUUUAACGGGAGCCUUUUGGAGACACAAUGAUGGUCUCGGGCAGUGCCAAUCGAGGAGGCGAUUGAGGGCUUUAGGGCGCCACUCAAGGUGGCCGUGGGGCAGGCGGCUCACGCUGAGUU